UUAGUAAAAAGAGGGGGAAAAAGUAUGCCGAAAAUUCAUAUGGAUUUCAUUUUUCUCUGCAGACUUUAUUUAGUGAAGCAGCUGUAGCUUGUGUUUCAUUGUGCAGCCUUGACACAGUAAUUCUUCUGACGACUGUUAGAUUCAUCAAGGUUAAAAGUCAGGUCCAAUCUCUCUUACUCCUGCUUUUAUCUUUUGACAACAAUGAAAGUGAAUGGCAGUAG
rnacentral:lncRNA from 1 species